UGGGGAAUCUUGGACAAUGGGCGCAAGCCUGAUCCAGCCAUGCCGCGUGAGUGACGAAGGUCUUCGGAUUGUAAAACUCUUUUGGCGGGGACGAUAAUGACGGUACCCGCAGAAUAAGCCCCGGCUAACUUCGUGCCAGCAGCCGCGGUAAUACGAAGGGGGCUAGCGUUGUUCGGAAUCACUGGGCGUAAAGCGCACGUAGGCGGAUGUGCCAGUCAGGGGUGAAAUCCCGGAGCUCAACUCCGGAACUGCCUCUGAUACUGCACGUCUUGAGUUCGAGAGAGGUGGGUGGAAUUCCUAGUGUAGAGGUGAAAUUCGUAGAUAUUAGGAAGAACACCGGUGGCGAAGGCGGCCCACUGGCUCGAUACUGACGCUGAGGUGCGAAAGCGUGGGGAGCAAACAGGAUUAGAUACCCCCUGAGCGGGCUGGCAAGGCGCAU
rnacentral:rRNA from 1 species